CUCCCGUUGCCUGGUAACAGCCCUCCCCUUCACCAGCUCCGCGGAAACCAUAGCAACGGGCAGCCGGAAGAUGCGGCCAUUCCUCUCCCUUUUGUCCAUUGCAUUUCAGCAGCGCCCGCGCACAUGGACGCUCCAAUUACAGGCGGAGAAGCUGUCGGGCGCUGUCGCACAAAGCGAUUUUGUGCCUCCUCCCGGCGCCUUCCUCCACUCCCUGCCGCGUUCAAGGACAAACAAGGACCUCCAAAUUCGUGUUCAAACGCCCCGCGUGCUUAAAACAACACGUAUGCAUUGUCUCCCAGCUCUAGAGGCUAGAAAUUGGCAGUCAGGAUGUGUGUAAGGCCACGCUCCCUCUGAAGACUCCAGGGGAGGAUCUUUCCUUGCCUCCUCCAGCUUCUGGUGGCUGCCAGCAUCCUUGGCAUUCCUUGGCCUGUGGACACAUCACUCUCAUCUCUGCCCAUGGUCACGCAGAACCCCAAGCUCCAGAAUACAGACCAGCAGGCGAGGAGACAAGGAGGCAAGCAGAUGGAUGGUGGAACAAAGUGGCAGAGAAAGAGAGAAGAGGAGAGAUGUCUGGACGCCAAGAGGAGUCUGGCUGGGGCCAGUCAGAGAAGAGUCCAGCGGCUGGGCAGCCCGACUCCAGGGGAAGAUCACCUUCCCACUCCAUCCCCCUUCACGCUCCCCAUCCAUCUCACUAAGAGCCAUCUCUACCACUCAAUAAAACCUUGCAUUCAUCCUUCA
rnacentral:lncRNA from 1 species